CUUCUGGGAUAGGGACUUCUAGAAAAGUCAUCCCACCCUGCUCAUCCUGGACAGAGGCCACGUGACACAUACACAGGAGCCAGCGUGAGUCCUUCAGGCUCAGAGGAUUCCAGCAAACACUGUUCAUUUUUAACUCAGUUAACGUUUACCCUCUCAAAAUGGUUUUGAACUCUGAGCAAAAUAAGACCUAGCACUUUCAGGUCCCAAGGUCAGGGACUCCCAUUAUGCCCAUGAAGUUCACUUUGAGAAUUGUUCCCCACAGGCCAGUUAACUGAUUCCCCUCAGGAAAAGGCCAAACUGCCUUUGGAGUGUACUUCUGAGAACAGCACUCUAGUCAUGGAUCAGUUCUCUCUCUCUCUCUCUCUCUCUCUCUGGCUUUGAACAAGACAACACACCCAUCCUGAAUUCAGUUUGGCAGAUUCAUGGAAAAUAGAAGUAUGUUAUCUGUUGCACAGCAGACAUCUCCAGCACAAACCAGAACAGUCUGCUAGAAAAAGCUUCCAGGUGCCCCCGGGUUGCAGCCCAGAAACAACAUUUAUUAGUUGCAGAAAAAGAUGAAGCUGAGCAGAACCUGCUUUGAAGCGAUAACAGGUAUGGGGUUGAAGAUCAUGCAUUGAUGUCGGGAAAUAUAAAAUGUGAUUCCACUUUGCUGGUGUGUGUGCAAACACGCACAUGUCUGCACACAGGAAGAAAAAAGAUUAAAAAAAAAGAAAUCGUUAACAUUUGAUCUUAGCAAGGUGGGAUUGCUAAUGAC
rnacentral:lncRNA from 1 species